CACGUAGGGCGCAAGCGUUUGUCCGGAAUUAUUGGGCGUAAAGAGCUCGUAGGCGGUCUGUUGCGUCCGCUGUGAAAACUCGGGGCUUAACCCCCGAGCCUGCAGUGGAUACGGGCAGACUAGAGGUAGGUAGGGGAGAAUGGAAUUCCCGGUGUAGCGGUGAAAUGCGCAGAUAUCAGGAGGAACACCGGUGGCGAAGGCGGAUCUCUGGGCCUUACCUGACGCUGAGGAGCGAAAGCAUGGGGAGCAAACAGG
rnacentral:rRNA from 1 species